UGCUUAUUAUGCCAUUAUUAGAACAAUAACGAUUGUAUAUUUUAAGAAAUCUUAUUUCGACAGUGCAAAUAGACAUUGUUUUCAGAUAUCAAUCUCACGCCAUGCUGUUUUACACAAUCCUACUGAUAUCCAGCUCCAUAGUUUUUGUGACGCAUCCCAGACUCCUUAUGGGGCCUGCGUUUAUGUCCGUUCUACCAAUAAGACUGGAAUAAUCAAGGUUCAAUUGCUGGCAGCAAAAUCACGAGUGGCACCCUUGAAGAUUAGUCUGCUACGGCUUGAACUAUGCAAAGCAAUACUUCUUGUUACUCUACGCGACAAGAUAUCUCCAGUUUUUAGCUGCACAAUUUCAAAACGCUAUUUGCUGAACAGACUCUGAGAUUGUGCUAGCAUGGAUUCAAGGCGAACCAUCGAAGUAGCAAGUUUUUGUUGGAUUCUACCGGCACAAUUGCUUGAUGCAACAUUGUGAUAGGAAGGACCGCUUUGGUUAAAGGAAAACUCAUCACGAUGGCCAACACCUUCAAUGUCAAUACCAAGAGACAUACCUGAAACACGUACUCAACCAAUCGCUUUACUUUGUGUCAAGGAUUCAUUCGAUAUUAUUAAUCGAUAUUUUUCAUUAAUCCAGUUAAAACAAGUCGUCGCAACUUAUAUAAGAUUUGUAACAAAUUGCAAAUUAUCCAAAUCAAAGUCUUUGCUGAUUCACGGACCACUCACCGUUGACGAGCUUCAAAGGGCUAUGAUCGUGUUAACAAAGAUUCAUCAACUAAAGGCGUUCCAAUGCGAAUUGCGCAAUCUGCAACGAGACAAGGCGGUUGAGCCACACAGCAAGAUUCUCUCACUAAACCCUUUCCUGGAUCAGAACGGAUUACUCCGGGUUGGUGGCCGGCUGAAGAAUGCUCCCUUGUCCUACUCACAAAGACAUUAUAUACUCUUAUCUUCACAUGACGCACUGACUGACCUGAUUAUACGCGAUCAACACUUAAUUUUCACACAGGUCCUUAAACGUUGUUGACAAUACUUUGUGAAACUUUCAGGAUAAUUCAUGCAAAACACGCGAUAUAGCGUGUACUGAGUAAAUGUGUUCUAUGUUUCCGAACGCGACCACGUAACUCGAUACAACAGAUGGGCAGUUUACCAGCGUCCAGGGUCACUUCAUCUAGAGCGUUUUACCACACAAGUGUUGAUUACGCAGGCCCUUUCAAUGUCAAACUGUCAAAGAAAUAAAUCGAGUAAGGCUUAUGUAUGUUUGUUUGCAUGGCCACCAAAGCCAUACAUAUUGAGUUGGUCUCUGAUCUUACCACUGAGAUGUUCUUGAACGCGUUAAAACGAUUCAUUUCUCGACGAGGAAAACGCAACUCUAUCUUGUCUGACAAUGGCAAAAAUUUCUUAGGAGCUAGCAACGCUCUACGACAAAUGGAUGAAUUUUUAUCACAAUCCGAACAUCAAACAAAGAUUAUAAACUUUGCGGCCGACCAUGGAAUUUCUUGGAAAUUUAUUCCGCCUCACUGCCUUCAUAUGGGAGGAUUGUGGGAAGUUAACGUUAAAUCUAUAAAAACGCAUCUCAAAGCUGUAAUACAUGAAACACUCUUAUCGUUCGAAGAAUUGUACAUUGUUCUUGUUCAAAUAGAGGUAAUACUUGACUCGCGACCCUUGUGUCCUUUGAGCAGCACUCCGGAUGAGUUGGCAGUGUUACUACUAGACAUUUUUAAAUUGAAACAUCUCUUUUGGCUUUGCCGGAAGAAUCAAUGUUAGACGUUCCUUUGAAUCGUCUCAAUCGCUAUCAAUUAGUAACACAGUUACAACAGUCAUUUUAGAGACGCUGGUCAAAAGAAUAUGUUGCUCUGAUGCAAUAGCGUAUGAAAUGGAAAUCUUCAAUGCGUAACGACGAAAUCGAAGUAAGCAAACUAGCUUUAAUUCGCGACAAAAAUUUACCUCCAUUAAAAUAGCGUACCGGUAGAAUAUAAGAAACUCACCCCGAUAAAUUAGUAAGUGUCUUUGAAAACUACCGGCGGAAUUAUUCAGCGUUCAUUACCCAAGAUAUGCAUAUUACCUGUUAAUUAACGACUGCGUUUACUACUUAAGUUUAUUGCAUUAGGGUUUAUUUAUUUGUUGCAAACCACACAAAUCACACCAUUUAUUAUUUUAUGUUCAGUUGUUGAAGUGAUACUUCAAGGUGGCCGGAAUGUAUGAUUUUGUAACACAAACUUUUGAUUUCGUAUUUUAACCACGCGUAGUCUAUGCCUAUGCUCUAGCGUUCGACGUCACGUAAGAGGGCGUCGGUCUUACACUAAAACCUGUUCUACAAUAGCAAUAAACACAAGACGUAAGGUUGUAAUGUAAGAAAUAAAAAGGUUUUAUUCACUUACAAGCUCUUAAAACCCGCCUUACAACCUUACGGUCUUGUAUUCUACUGCUAUUGUAGAACAGACUUAAGUCUCACACAGAACACGCACGCACGCACGAAGCGUCGUGUAUAGCAUUAUACACACAUACAGAAUAAAGCAAGUAAUCGAGUUUAGUUUAAUUCGACGGGUUUUUUCAUUCAAAUCCCCACACUCGCCAUUGUACGACUCGAUUAACAAAAUCGAUGCUCGCGGGGUCACGGAGAAAAUCCGAUCCUAGGAUACCUUCCUGCGCGAUUGGAAAACUGUUUGAAAUUACGUGAAUAUGUACGGGGUGACCCAUAAAAUUAAUAUAAGUGGAUCCGAGUGUUUUUACCUGCCCGUCGGUUAGGUUUGAAAAUUUUGAUAAUAUACCAAAUGUUAUUGAUGUUUAAACAUUACCCAGUCAAUAAAAUGUUACCACUGUGUCGACAGGCUGACGGCAGAUUCGACGUGUUGGCAGGCUGAACUCAACUGAUCUCAAAUUUUGCUUAUAUUCUGUUGAUAUUCUAUGUCAGUGAAAUUACAGCACCAGGCGAGCACGCCGUACUGCCAGCACAUGAUGCCAAAUAGUCGGCAGGAUUCGAACAUGACAUGCGCAACAUAAUCUGACGGUAGACUGCUAGCACAAAUCGAGCACCCCGUGCUGACAAGAUCUGAUACCACGCUGGCAGCAAAAAUUAAACAUUUUUAUUCAAAAACUUUUAUUAUAAAAAAAAAUUUUUUUCAGUUUUCUUGCAGAUUUAAUUUUUAUUUUUAUUAUAGAUUAAUCUAAUUCGCAUAUAUUCUAUUUUACUAAUUACGAUUAAGCAUUAUUUUACAAUUUUUAAGAACGCACGGGGCCAACGAGAUUUGAACCUAAGAUUUCGGGACAAUAAUGGGAACGGCCUUUACCAAAAAUUAAAGAAAGAUGUUCCAAAUUUAGUUUUAAUUAAGUGUGUUUGUCAUUCGCUGCGAUUAGCAGUAUCUCAUGCAACAAGUGAUACAUUACCACGUGUUUUAGAAUAUUUAGUUUCUGAAACUUAUAAUUAGUUUUCACGGUCAUCUGUCAGAAAAUAUUAAUAUCGUGAAUUAUAUAAAACUAUUAUGGAAGGAAAAGAGUCAAAAAAAAUUGUACAGGCUUUCAAUACAAGAUGGUUUUUAAUUGAGUUUGCAAUAUCCUCUAUUUUAGAUCAAUAUUUAGAAUUAAAAACUCACUUUGAAGUUGUUCGCAUUUCAGAAAAAUGCUACAAUGCAGAGAUUUUAUAUAACAUAUAUAAAGAUGAAACCAAUUUAUUAUACUUAUUAUUUCUAAAACCUAUUUUACAUAAUGUUCAACAAGUAAAUAAAGCAUUCAAAGCCAAUAAUGUAGUUCCUCUAAAGUUAUUUAAGGAUCUUACUCUACUCAUUAAUAGUAUUAGUAAAAUGAUAGUACUUCCAUGUCAUAAAGUAGAUUUUAUAAAAAAUGUUAUUUAACCAUUUUUAGAUCCUAAUCCCUAUUUGGGUUAUGGGUUUAAGAAUAAAAUUAAACAUCUCAAAGACGAAAAAAGAAUUAAUAUAAAAGAAGAAACAAACGUAAGAUCUCGAUGCAGAAACUUUUUACUAUUUUUAUAUAAACAAAUAAAACAAAGAUUACCUGACAACAUUGAAAUCUUAGAAAAAAUUAAUUUAUUUUGUAUUUGUUGAAAAUGUACUUAAGCAUCACAAACUACUUAUUACACGUUUGUUAAUUGAAAUGAAUAUUGACCCCUUACAUAUUGCACAAAUAGAAAUCGAAUAUAAUAAAAUUCAUUUAAUUAAAUGGAACAAAAUACACCAUACUGUAUAUUUAUGGGAGAAGUAUAUAAAUACCGAGACGCUAUAGGUGAAAAUCCUUUUAAAAAUUUAGCAGAAAUAGCUUUAUUGUUUUUGGUGUUUCCAGUGUCAGAUGCAGAAAUUGAGCGUAUAUUUAGUCAACUCAACUUAGUAAAACAUAAAACAAGAAAUAAUUUAACGUCUUUUGUUCGAGAUGACGAAUAAUUUAACGUCUUGUUCGAGAUGACGGUGAUUCGAGCGCGUCACGCGUGGCAGCGCUCUUCCCGCUCACACGGCGGACCGCUGCUCGCGAACGGGAAAGCUAUAUGCUGUUGCCAAGUGGCAAAAUCAAUAUUCGGCAAAUAAUAACAGCGAGCCUUCUCGAGAGAUCUACGGAAAUUGGUAACCGUCGUCUAUUUACUGAAUUCCUGCCUGGACCUUUCGAGGGGGAUCGUUGUCUAUAUAAGGCACAAAUAUCAAACGCGCUUCGCGGUUGUUUUGCGAGAUAACUUAUAAUCAACGCGUACGCGGACUUUAUAUUAGAAUCGGCAUACGUCUCUCGGAGAAAGAUUUCGGCUACCGUUCAUGACUUUGUAAAUUCAUGCUGUUCGACGAUAAAUGAGUGUAGCAAAUUAAAUAACUUUAUUCGUCAGUUA
rnacentral:lncRNA from 13 species